rnacentral:rRNA from 1 species
UACGGAGGGGGCUAGCGUUGCUCGGAAUCACUGGGCGUAAAGGGUGCGUAGGCGGGUCUUUAAGUCAGGGGUGAAAUCCUGGAGCUCAACUCCAGAACUGCCUUUGAUACUGAGGAUCUUGAGUUCGGGAGAGGUGAGUGGAACUGCGAGUGUAGAGGUGAAAUUCGUAGAUAUUCGCAAGAACACCAGUGGCGAAGGCGGCUCACUGGCCCGAUACUGACGCUGAGGCACGAAAGCGUGGGGAGCAAACAGGG